GGUUGCGAUCAUACCAACACUAAUGCACCCGAUCCCAUCUGGACUCCGCAGUUAAGCGUGCUUGGGUGAGAGUAGUACUAGGAUGGGUGACCCCCUGGGAAGUCCUCUUGUUGCAACCCC
rnacentral:rRNA from 1 species